rnacentral:misc_RNA from 1 species
GAUGAAGAACGUAGCGAAAUGCGAUAAGUAGUGUGAAUUGCAGAAUUCAGUGAAUCAUCGAAUCUUUGAACGCACAUUGCGCCCCUUGGUAUUCCAUGGGGCAUGCCUGUUCGAGCGUCAUUUGUACCCUCAAGCUUUGCUUGGUGUUGGGUGUUUGUCCUCUCCUUUGCGUUUGGACUCGCCUUAAAGCAAUUGGCAGCCAGUGUUUUGGUAUUGAAGCGGAGCACAUUUUGCGAUUCUAGCCGAUAAUACUUGCGUCCAUAAGCCUUUUUUAACUUUUGACCUCGGAUCAGGUAGGGAUACCCGCUGAACUUAAGCAUAUCAAUAAGCGGAGGA